UACGUAGGUGGCAAGCGUUGUCCGGAAUUAUUGGGCGUAAAGCGCGCGCAGGCGGCCUUUUAAGUCUGAUGUGAAAUCUUGCGGCUCAACCGCAAGCGGCCAUUGGAAACUGGGAGGCUUGAGUACAGAAGAGGAGAGUGGAAUUCCACGUGUAGCGGUGAAAUGCGUAGAUAUGUGGAGGAACACCAGUGGCGAAGGCGACUCUCUGGUCUGUAACUGACGCUGAUGAGCGAAAGCCAGGGGAGCAAACGGG
rnacentral:rRNA from 1 species